rnacentral:tRNA from 1 species
GCGAAGGUGGUGAAAUUGGUAGACACGCUAGCUUCAGGUGCUAGUGGCCUUACGGCUGUGGGGGUUCAAGUCCCCCCCUUCGCA